rnacentral:rRNA from 2 species
ACGGGAGGCAGCAGUGGGGAAUAUUGGGCAAUGGGCGAAAGCCUGACCCAGCGACGCCGCGUGAAGGAAGAAGGUCUUCGGAUUGUAAACUUCUGUUAACUAGGGACGAAACAAAUGACGGUACCUAGAGAGAAAGCCACGGCUAACUACGUGCCAGCAGCCGCGGUAAUACGUAGGUGGCAAGCGUUAUCCGGAUUUACUGGGCGUAAAGGGUGUGUAGGCGGGACCGCAAGUCAGAUGUGAAAAUUAUGGGCUCAACCCAUAACCUGCAUUUGAAACUGUGGUUCUUGAGGAUCGGAGAGGUAACUGGAACUCCCAGUGUAGCGGUGAAAUGCGUAGAUAUUGGGAAGAACACCGGCGGCGAAGGCGGGUUACUGGACGAUUACUGACGCUGAGACACGAAAGUGUGGGGAGCAAACAGGAUUAGAUACCCUGGUA